rnacentral:lncRNA from 1 species
CUAAUUUCACACUAUAAAUGUAUAAACCACACAAAGCACGCAAAAAAAAUUAAUCAAGAAAUCAAAACAAAAUAAUCCAAAAUUUAGUGUUCAGUUCAAUUAUACAGUCCCGAAUAGAAAAAAAAAUGCGAAAAUGUAAAUCCUAUUCUGCUCUUCACUAACUUUGUACUACGCUCCCAUGCUACCCGAUGCCUCGAGCCUUCAUCACAGACGUCUCUAAAUACAAAAUACUUUGGGUCAUUCUCUGAUGAAUAAAUACAAGUGAUUGCGGGGCAUUCCCCGAUUAAAUGAAUACAUUUACAAAUACAAGAACUAAAACCAAACCAUUCAACUCAAAUUCCACAUUCAAACAUUCAACAAGAAAACUUAUUCCUAAAUUUUGCCUACCCGAACCUACAUUGGCCUAUCCAUUUCAACAUAUUAUAAUUCUCUCAUGUUCAAAACAAUAAUCAUGCUCAUCACAAAUUAAACAAAAUAAUAAUAAACCAAAGUUAAUCUAAAUUCAACUUUUUUUUAUCAAUUUAUCAAUUCCAUCCCCAAAUAAUUGACUAAUUCUUUGAUUAUCAAUUCAAUUUCUCACAUCCAAAUCCAACAUCAACUAACCCAUAGUAAAGAUUCAAACAUGCUCAAACAACAAAUCAUUCCCGAUUAAUUAACAAACUUCAACAUAGAAUCACCCAAAAUAAUCAAACUUGCUCAACCACAUAAUCAAGAUCAUAUCAUCAACCAAAGCAUUCUAUCCAUAAUAUCGAAUAUCGUAAAUAAAGAAAUAAGAUAGUAGAGGUUAGAAAUGGACCUGAUUCGGAACUUUUUGAAGAAUAUUAUAAGAAAACCCACUUCCGAGAACCUCAACUUGAGCCUCAACAAUGACAAAAAUCCAACUCGAUAUUGCCAAUUACGAUUCGAACAAAUUUUAAUUCAAGAAACCAAACUCAAUAUAGAACUCCGAAUCAACCACUUAAAAUAGAGAUAAAAAACCUCCCAAAUCCAGAUCCCGAAGAUGAACACCAAUCUUGAAACCCAAAACUAGACCUAAAUAAUUGAUGAGAUGGAAACCUGAUGUUGAACGGACGACGAAGAUUCAAUAUAGAUGGACUGUUUUUUGUUUAAGACCAGCCGGAAUCAAUGGGUUCUCGAUGGAAUCUGUGCGUGUGUGAAUCGUGAGGGUGUAGAAGAGAGGAAAAAGAAUGGAUCUGUGUGUGUAUAUAUGUUGUUAUCUUCCCUUCUCCCCUACCUCUGAUCUCUGUGUAUGCGUGUGAAUCGUGGUGUAUCAGUGUGUGUGUGUUGGUGAGUAUGAGUGUCACUGAUGAAGAAGAAAAAGGGAAAAGCCCCCCUAAAAUGGCGUAUGUAUAUGGUAUAUGUGUCAAAUCCAAAAGGAAAAGUCAGGUCCUUUUUUUUGGACCCUUUCCCCUUUUAU